rnacentral:rRNA from 1 species
AGAGUUUGAUCCUGGCUCAGAAUCAACGCUGGCGGCGUGCCUAACACAUGCAAGUCGAACGCGAAAGGGGCUUCGGUCCUGAGUAGAGUGGCGAACGGGUGAGUAACACGUGGGUGAUCUACCUUCGAGUGGGGGAUAACGUCCCGAAAGGGACGCUAAUACCGCAUGACGUUCUGGGUUUAAAGACCUGGAAACCAAAGCCGGGGACCGCAAGGCCUGGCGCUUGGAGAGGAGCCCGCGUCCGAUUAGCUAGUUGGCGGGGUAACGGCCCACCAAGGCGACGAUCGGUAGCCGGCCUGAGAGGGCGGACGGCCACACUGGAACUGAGACACGGUCCAGACUCCUACGGGAGGCAGCAGUGGGGAAUUGUUCACAAUGGGCGCAAGCCUGAUGACGCAACGCCGCGUGGGGGAUGAAGGUCUUCGGAUCGUAAACCCCUGUCGAAUGGGACGAAAGACCCGGGAGCUAGUCAUUCCGGGAGUGACGGUACCGUUAAAGGAAGCCACGGCUAACUCUGUGCCAGCCGCCGCGGUAAUAC